AUAGAAUACGACAUUUACGGUUGGCGGACGCCAGGGACAGGCGUCCUGCUGCUGUGACAUGUGAGCCUGCGACAUAUCAGGCUGCUUGGAGGCCGGUGGGGACGUGCAGCUCGCCGGAGUGGCCGCCGCACACCGUCGACAGCCACGAGGACGAGCCUUUUUCGUGGUCACGGGCCCGCCGCCCCUCGCGGCGCCGUCCUGCUGCUCUCGGCAUGCUCGAAAUCUGCAGCGGGGCAGCACCACCAGAAAUGCGACCCGGAAAACCAGAGCGAGCGAGGUGAAACGAGGGCGAGGUACUACUUGCCCAGGGAAGCUCAGGAGAUGUGACAUACAGAAACCCUCGUUCACAAAUGGCGGCGGCGCCGACGAACAAGAAGAAGGUGACGAGAAUACGUCGAGAAGAGAAGGAAGCAAGAGAGGAGGGAGGAAGGAGAUCUGAACCUUCUAUAUUGACAGGCCUGCGUACGUACAUAAAGGUGGUCUGAUCGUAAAUUUGGUGGGGCUUUCUCUUCCUUCCACCGUCUCGAGCCGUUUCUUGAGAACAGGUACCUCGUCGACACUCGCAUUCCUACAGCUUCGUGCCUCCAGUUCAUUGUGUCACUGCCUGUCGUAAUCCCUUCUUGUUAGCAGCAGCACUAGUAGCUAUGGCCUACGGAGUACUACUGCUGCUGUUCUCCACGAUGAUCUUUAUGAAAAAGGAGAUACAACUGUUUCAGCGUGUGUGUGUUUCAAGAUGAAGAUGGUUGUGUUUCACCGGUGCAAAACAUUUCGGUUGCACAGUCGCUCUCUCAUAUAAGUGAAACUGUUAAAGAAGUCCAAGUACCAAGUCUCAAGGGCACGCUUUUCUCCUUUGCACA
rnacentral:lncRNA from 7 species